rnacentral:rRNA from 1 species
UACGUAGGGUGCAAGCGUUAUCCGGAAUUAUUGGGCGUAAAGAGCUCGUAGGCGGUUUGUCGCGUCUGCUGUGAAAACUGGGGGCUCAACCCCCCAGCCUGCAGUGGGUACGGGCAGACUAGAGGUAGGUAGGGGAGAAUGGAAUUCCCGGUGUAGCGGUGAAAUGCGCAGAUAUCGGGAGGAACACCGGUGGCGAAGGCGGGUCUCUGGGCAAUUCCUGACGCUGAGGCGCGAAAGCGUGGGGAGCAAACGGG